rnacentral:rRNA from 1 species
UACAGAGGGGGCAAGCGUUGUUCGGAAUUACUGGGCGUAAAGGGCGCGUAGGCGGCCUGCUAAGUCAUACGUGAAAUCCCAUGGCUCAACCAUGGAACUGCGUGUGAUACUGGCGGGCUUGAAUUCGGGAGAGGGAUGCGGAAUUCCAGGUGUAGCGGUGAAAUGCGCAGAUAUCAGGAGGAACGCCAAUUGCGAAGGCAGCUCGCUGGGACGUAACUGACGCUGAGACGCGAAAGCGUGGGGAGCAAACAGG